rnacentral:rRNA from 1 species
AUACGGAAGGUCCGGGCGUUAUCCGGAUUUAUUGGGUUUAAAGGGAGCGCAGGCGGAGAUGCAAGCGUGACGUCAAAUUUCGGGGCUCAACCCCGUCUCGCGUCGCGAACUGCGUCCCUUGGUUGCGGGAAGGGGAGGCGGAACUCGUGGUGUAGCGGUGAAAUGCCUAGAUAUCACGAAGAACUCCGAUCGCGAAGGCAGCCUUCCGGCCCGUCAACGACGCUCAUGCUCGAAGGUGCGGGUAUCAAACAGGAUUAGAUACCCUGGUAGUCCGCACAGUAAACGAUGGACACCCGCGGUUUGGCCUAUAUGGCUGAGCCGCCAAGCGAAAGCGUUAAGUGUCCCACCUGGGGAGUACGCCGGCAACGGUGAAACUCAAAUGAAUUGACGGGG